AGCAGGAUGUGGGUGGGGCCAGAUAAGAGAAUAAAAGCAGGCUGCCCCAGCCAGCAGUGGCAACCUGCUUGGGUCCCCUUCAAUACUGUGGAAGCUUUGUUCUUUCGUUCUUUGCAAUAAAUGUUGCUACUGCUCACUCUUUGGGUCCACACCGCCUUUAUGAACUGUAACACUCACUGCGAAGGUCUGCAGCUUCACUCCUGAGGCCAUGAGACCACGAACCCACUGGGAGAAAUGAACAACUCUGGACGCACUGCCCUAAGAGCUGUAACACUCACCACGAAGGUCUGCAGCUUCACUCCUGAAGCCAGCGAGACCACAAACCCACCAGAAGGAAGAAACUUCGAACACGUCCGAACAUCAGAAGGAACGAACUCCAGACACGCCGCCUUUUAGAACUGUGACACUCAAACGGCAACACUCACCGCGAGGGUCCGCGGCUUCAUUCUUGAAGUCAGUGAAACCAAGAACCCACCAAUUCCGGAAACACUGGGAUUACAGGCAUGAGCCACCGUGCCCAGCCGGGUGUCCUUUUAAGAACAGGAGAUUAGGAUGCACAGAGAGACACCAGGGAUGUGGGUGCACAAAAGGGUGACUAUGUGAAGAGGCAGAAAGAGGGCAGCCAUCCACAAGCCAAGCAGAGAGACCACAGCAGAAACCAAGCCCGCUAAUGCCUUGAUCUUGGAUGUUCAGCUUCGAGAACUGUGGAAAAUAAAUUUCUGUUGUUUAAGCCACCCAAUCAGAGGUAUUUUGUUAUGGCAGUGCUAACAAACGAAUAUGCUAAAUUCCUGGAUAAUCAGUUUGGCACCUAAAAGCUGAGGGGUUUGUCAGUAAAGGGAUUGUACCCUAAUAAGGUGUUCCUGCUUGAAGUAAGUAAAAUUCUCCCUUAUGGAUAUUUUUCCCUAAUCAGAAGGUUGGAAUUGGCUACUAUUUCCAGAAGAGUGAAGUAACCCUCCUCAAUAUGCCACUUGCUUUUUUAGUUGGAAAGACUAUUAGCUAUGUAUUACCGGCACAUAAAGAGAAUUGUUUGUGACAGUGAUCUAGCAAAUAUCAAAAUUUGCCUCAGCAAAGAGUUAAAAAGCAAAGCAAAAGAAAAAAUCCUUGAUAUUUAAAGAGCUUGUGUCCCUUACUCCAGAAAAAAUUUUCUGCAAUUCAAACAAGUUUUCUGCAUCAGGCUUUGUGCUAGCUUCAACAGAGGAUAUAUACUCAAUUGGAAUAGGGCUUUAAAUUGGUUUCAUGACAAAGGCUAUGAAUUUUACUAGGUGACUCAAAUUAUUCAUGAGAGAGAGAAGAUCUUGAUUUAUGCUCUAGUUUUGUGUAAAUUUCAUUUUUGUAAAGUAAAUCACUUUUCCCAUUGACUCACAUUACAACUUGAGAGACUCUUUAUCUUCUUUUCUGAGUAACCUCCUAUUGACAAAGGCUUUUUGCACUUCUGUGCAAGCAUUUAAUGACCUAAAAGCAAACUCUUAAAUGAAGCAUAACUAUUUUCAGAAACUGCAAGAAAACCAUAUAUUCAUCCAACAAACAUAGCAAGCACUGAAUGCCAACUAUGUGGCAGAGGCUGUGGAUUCAAAGACACUGACCUCCUGUCUUCAAGAUCUUUACUGUCUUUGGUAGAUUGAAAAAGUCUUUUGAGAAGCAAAUAAUCAGCCCUCACAUGCAAAUGCUCUGUAAUAUACAUAUAUUGGAUGUUCUUAAAAAUUGAAUUAUAUAACUGUCAAAAAUAAGCAAGACUGGAUAACUACUUAAAGUGGAACAUCACAGCCUUCUUGCACUCAGGAACAGUAGACAGCACUUCAGCACUGCAGUUGGGGGCCAUUUUAAACAGUGAAAUCACCACCAAAAAGCACAAAAAAGUGAGAAAAACAUGGCACUGAAUAGACCGUGGAAAGGAUGCUUGGUAGCAGUAUGAGAGCUGAAACAAGAAGACAAAGUGUUGUGGCCUUAUUCACCUCAGUUGGGACUGCAUAGGCAACUAAAAUUUUUUCUCAUUCUGAGUAUGUCUAUGAAAACAUCACAGCUUCACAGGUGAAUAAAGACUGACAAGCCUGACCUUGACCUUUUACCCAGUGGAAGGACAGUUCCUAUUCCUAUCAGCUAUGGCAGCCAGCAUGUCACAAGAGCCUCCAGAAGCAGAGUCUCCAGCUGGGGCCCACAGACACGCGUGAACAAGCCAACAAGCUCCUCCUGGGACUCUGAAGCAUGUGACUGGUAUAAUUCUUUCAGGAUUCAUCAGAAGAGUGUUUGCUAAUAUGCUGCCUUUUUUUUUUCAAUAUGCUGCCCUUUUUUUCUCUUUCCAAACAUUUAUGAUCCCAAAAUUAAUACUUUGCUCUUUAUGUGUU